AUAGUUUGGACCCUUAUACAUCACAGAAGGUAUUAAUGAAAGUCCUUAAACUGUUUUCAAUAUUUAGAGGAAAUUUAGGAGAAAUAGCCUAUGAAAUCUGUGGAUAAAUAUGCGAACUAAAAAUUUUCUUUGCUUUUGUCUGAAAUUAUAGCAACUCAGUGUGGUAACCCUUUAUCUCAUGCUGAUUAGAUUGUUUAAUUUGCAGUUAGACAUGUCUUUGAUGCAGAAAAAAACCAGAAAAUAAAUUGUUAAUUAAUAAUUUCAGUGUAUUUGGAAGUCCAAACUUUCAAAGCCCAGUGUUAUUGGAGGAAAAAAAUGGAAGGAGCUUGUUGUUGUGAAGAUAUUUGGGCACGUGGGUAUUUGCUCUGCCUCUGGUCAUCUUGGGGCACCAGGUGAUAUCACAGAAUGGAUCCUUCCUCGGUGGCUCCCGCUGAAGGGGCUUCGAUUUUCAGUGUAAAUUGAAAUAAUUUUUCUUUUCAAUGCAGCAGCAGUUUCGUACCUUAAUAUAAUGGAGCUCCCUAUUUCUGUGAUUUAUUGUUCUGCCUUUCUGCUGUUUGCUUAGUCCUCAGAAUGGCCACUGGUGAUGGAUCUAUUAACACACUACGCCAAUAAAUCCCAUCCAUUAACCUGGAGGCCCUGGGAGGAAAGUAUGAUAGUGGCCACAUGCGUUGGCCAUUGGCUAAGAGGCUGGAUUGGCCACUGGUCUCCCACUUUGGAUAGAAUAACUGUUAUGGGACUGAAUAGCUCCUUCCUCAUGCUAGGUAUCUCUCUAAGAGGAAGGGGCUGGGAAUGGUUUGUUGAGAGCCCUUCGAGACCAAGUUUGGUUUACGUGCUGCCAUAAGAAGCUAAUCCAAAAUGGUAACAAGACUGUAGAUUCUGCCAUAAUGUUGACACAGAUGCUGCCAGAGCUUUUCCAAAUCCAAAAUUGAAAAUCAUUGUUGAGAAGAGACGAAGGAACCUCCUUUCUCAUGUUCUUCUGAUGGUGCCAUUCACAACCUGGUCUUUCACCAAGAUGCUGCUUGCAGGGAGCUCACAGUCGUUUUUGUUCUCACAAGUUAAGAGGGAAUAUUGGCAGUAAGAGUGUUACCAAACUAUUCCGUCUUGAGCUGGCAGACGUAUAGAAAGAGAGGGCCGCUGCGCCCGUGUACAUAAUUAAUUGAAGAUCCACAGAUCUCCACUUUCAACCCUUUCUUCCAUCCUCUAGGGGAGGAAAGCAAAGGGAAAGGCAGUAAGUAUGUGUCCAGCCGGUCUCCUGGAGAGCACAUGACAGAAACCCACCUGAAACGAGAUUAGGAGAGAGGCGAAGAGGACUAACCUGCUCGUGUAACCCAAACUGCAAGGAGAACAGACGCAGAGUGGCUGGAACAAACAGAGCUCUCCAGCUCUUUUUUCUGCUUCUCUCCAGAAGUCAGUUCCAUUCUGGUCCACAGCACCCUAGUUCCUUCCACAAGGCUGCUGGAACAACGGCUGCUACUGGACCUUGGCCCCAAAUGUUUCCAGCUUCAGGAAUAGGAUCUGUUGGAGCAACUCUCACAGAGAAGCCGUCUUUCUGCCAGUUCCCUUGAGUUAGUUGCCAGGGAAACCUCAAGAGCUUCUACAAUCCAUCACUUUGGCAAAGAGAAGAGAGAUGGUUGAACUGCACAUGGCCCUUGAGGUUGCCACCUGGAAGAGACAUGUGUCACUUCUACUCACUGUUCCCUGGGCAAUGCAAGACACAUGGUCACAGGCCUGGCCUAUGUAACACUCCUGGUGCCUUUAGGACACUUGGGAUGGAGCCUCGACUUGGACCCUACCUCCUUCCUGCUGCCAGAACCCGUUGGAAUUAGAGGACAGGAGACCUCCUGUGAUUUACAUUCUGGAGUGGUGGGAUGAUGGACUGAGCCAGACAGCUCGUCACCUCUGGAGAAGACGAGCGGGGUCAUGGCAGCUGCCCUGGAAAUGAAAGAGGAGGCAGGGUGCUUUGCUGCCUUGGAAGCUCUCCUUUGUUCCCGAGCAUCAGGGGUGCUGUCGCAUGUGGCCUCUGGGAGGCCAGGCAGGAAGAGCAGAGCCUGUGCCCAAUAGCUGAAGGGCAGGGCUGAUGAACAGCUCAUCUUAUUGAUUGCUGGCCUCUCCGACCAUCAGCGGACCUAGGCCCACUGCUGGCUGCCUGCCAUUGAGCCACAAAGGCAGCAGCUCCACGGAUUUUCCACGAAUUCCCCCUUCUGGGUCCUUUUCAGUGGCCAGGUGGACUUGGCCUCUUGAACAUCCUGUUUGCUCCAACUUGUCCACCUGAUGCAAGUGCACGUUAGGUGACUGUGUAAACAGAGUGGUGUCCGAGAACCCCCAGGACUCCGGAAAGGAACUGGUGUGGACCCACACGAAACCAGAAAGUGGACCCAAGGGCCAAGGAAUGCCCAUGAUGAGAGAGCAGGACUGUGGCCCAGACCGGGGCUGCUGCUGGUCUAUGCAGCGCCUUUGUGUGAAGUAGAAAAAAACGUACCCCUUCUUUUUGGAGACGGAACCUGGAGCAGCUGUUCUUGGGUUGGAAAGUGAAGCCUGGACUGGAUUUUGGCUCCUACUUCAACAGGAGCCAACCUGCAUUACCACAUGCAGAGUGUAAUCAGGACUAGGAGCUUAUGUGAAGCUAGUUGAAGCCAGAACAAUGUUUAAAUCUCUCCCUAUCAAGGAAUUUGGUGAAUAGAUAUACACCUGGCUACGUGGAGAGCAACUUGUUGUGUACAUAAGGCUUGGAAAGAAAAUCAUUUAGAAUUGAAGAGGACAAGAGCCGUGUAAGGAAAGCAGUGUGCUUGGUGACAGGAACUUGGAAUGAGACUGGUGUAAAGAACCUGGCCGUGGUGUCAGACAGAGAAGAUUUGAAUCCCGUUGUUGUCACUUAUAAGCAGUAUGAUUCCCUGGGUUUUCUUCUGCGUCAAAUGCAAGUGAUAAUUGGAUAUGUUUCAUAAGGCGAUUGUGAAGGCUAGAUAGGAUAAUGGAGAUGCAUCUUUUUGGGAAAACCGUUUUCUGCCCAAAGGAAAUCAGCUUUCCUGUUUUCUGUUGUUAUCAAUAUUGCUGUUUGGGUUCCCUUGAGUGUGGAUUAAAUGGCAGCUGAGAAAUCUUGUUGGGACCACCUCUUCCCAUUGCCUUUCAAAGUGAAGUCUUGACAAGAAAGGAGUUCUUCCCAAAGAUAAGUACAUUGGAGGUUGGGUCUGGUGGUAGCUUCCUAAUGAAUUUGUGGUGCACAGAUCUGUCCUUGAGCUAUUUUCUGUAAUGUUCUCACUGCAGUGUCCCAUGACUGAUCUUAUUUCAGAGAAUUGUAUGAGUUUUGCAGCAAAUUACAAGGAAGGCCUGGUUCCUAAAAUCAGCUGAAGGCCAAUUAAGGUUUCUUGGGGCGCUUUCCUUCAGCUGCAAUGUCAUCAUAAAUGACUCUCCAGUGCAGUGGAAGGCUGACAUUUUGUAAGCUAAUACUAUAUUUUGGGAGUGAUUAAAAUCUCCAUCUCAGUCACCUGCCUGACCGACUGCCAGUGGCCACAAAACAAAAGGAUUACAGUCGAUUCAUAUCCAUUAGGAAAAUGACGUGAAACACUAUUGGUUUAGGCGCAGUGGGGCUUAAUCUGAUUUCAGGAAGAAAGGAGAGGUGUGCAAUUAAAGGAGAGAGGAAAGGCAGAAAAGAAAAUCAAAUGAGAAUUUUCCCCCAAAACCCAAGGCCUUUUUGGUUUGUUCAUUUCCAUAAGGGUUUAUUAAGUACCUGUUGAGUUCUUCCCACUAUGGUAGACCCUGAAAGGGAGGAAGGAGAAAACACUAGCAAUGCCUGUCCUCAGAACUUGCAGUGUAGUAGGGGGGAAAUGCUACACACUGAGGAGGUGGCCAGAGAAUUAGCAGAUUCAUGUUAGUAGGAAUUUGAAAAUAUUCUUUAGGUGCCUGGCACAGUUGGAAAAGGAAAAGAAGAUAAGUGAGAAGGGAUAGUUGACAUCUACAUGUUCUUACUGUGUGCUUCACAUUAAGUUUUUACACAUAUUAACUCACCUUUACAACAGCCCUACAUACCAUUAUUAUUCCCGCUUUACGGAUGAGGAAACUGAGGCCCACAGAAGUGAAGAAACUUGCCUGAGAUCACACAGUCCGCAAGAGGAAGAGCUGGGGUUUGCAUACAGCUAGUCUGGUCCUAGAAUCUGAGGUUUUACCAUUAUUCUAUGUGGCCUCCCAAGGUGAUGGGGUAUUCCUGACCCAUGAGGAUUUUCAUUCUCCAUGGGGAGAUGAGGUCUAGGUGUGAGGAUAAUUAAGCUACAGGUAGAGGGUGUAACAGUGGAGGUAGGGAAUAGAGUGAUUGAUGACUUCAGAAAGGUGGGUGUGCUAACUGAACUCUGGACAUGGAUGUGUAUAUGUUGGGGGAAGCUCUGCACAGAGGGAUAGAGAAGGUUCUAACCCAGGAAAAGAGCACGGGCAGAGGAGACUGAAAGAAUGGCUACAAUUUGCAGUUACUUGUUUGUAGUUGUCUAAGAAGAGAAAUCAUUAAAUCAAAGGGUGCCUUCUUACAAGGACAAGGGUUUAUAGCACUGGGGACAAGAGCGAGGAUGUGGAAUCUGACAAAGUUUAAAGUUCGAUUGUGUCACAUGCUCCUCAAGUGACCUUGAGAGAGUUACCUAGCCUUUAUCUGCAAAUGCAAGAUAGGAAGAACGGCUAUAGAAGAAUUGGGAAAGCCUCUCAUCUUGUAACGGAGCUCAUUUAUUUACUUCUUCAAAAAUAUUCAUUAGGGAACCAAUUACCUGCCAUGUGCUGUGCUAGAUGUUGGGACAAUGAACAAGGCAAACAUGAGUGUUGCUCUCUUAGAGCUUGUAUUCUAACUGGGGAGGCAACACAAUAAACAAGCAGUAAUCUACAACAAGUAAUCUUAGGAUAGGAGAGGGAUUUUGAAGAAAACAUAGGGUUGGGGCCAAGUAGAAUUAAUGGCUUUUACUGUGCCAAGGACAGUGUUUGUCAGGUAGGAGGCAAUCAAAACACAGGAGCUUUCAUUUUACAUUUAUGAAUAGCUCCAUCUUGAAAUUCAACAUGUAAGAGGAAGCCAAGGUAGCAGAUACUCUUUGCUGCCUACCAGGAGGGCAUGUCUCCUUUCUCCUUGCUUACAGACCCCUCUUUAACCCAAGAUUCAUCUUACGCCCACAGGCAAGGUGUUGGGGUUACAGGAAGCUCAGGAUGGAUGUCUACAUCUCCAAGGAACUAUCACUUUCUACCAAAAUGUGAGAAGAAACUCUGGAAUGCAGUGUCAUGAAUGGGAACUGUUGUGUAUUCACUGCUUUCCCCCCAGUGCCCAGGACAGUUCCCAGCACAGAAUAGGGGCUCAACAAAUGUCUGUGGAAUUAUUAAACAGGUCAAUUGAAAUAAACAUGGAUAUAUUUUAGAAUCGCACAAGCAUGGCAUAAAAUUUUAAAAAUCCAAACAGAUGGCACUGUUCCUGCUGCAUUUGAAACAUGGGCUUCCUCAGACUCUGCUCUGAAAUUGCAAUGGAGGAGAAACCAGUGGUUUCAAGAAACAGAAAUGCAGGGGAAACUGGGCCAGCCUCAGCUCUACAAGGGUGGUCACCAGCUCCGGGACUGACAAGGGCCACAGUACAAGAUGGAGACGAAGUGCCGAGUUCCCAGAGGCUGUUGGUGGUGGCGAGGCCUGUACCAUGAGGGGUGUCUUCUGGAAGGUGAGAUUACCAGAGCCCAGGCACUCUGGGGACUCUUGGAGGGUCACACAGUGAAGAAGUCUGAUAAUCACCAGCCCUCUGGAGGGAAGUGGCUGAUCCACAGAAGCCUGUUCCUCUACUUUGGUCAUUGUUAUACUUUGGUCAUUGUUAUACUUUGGUCAUUGUCUCACUAUAAAAGCACUCAAGUAAGGAUCAGUCAGGAGGCUCAUGGUCAUUAUGAUUCCACUGUCUGCUGAGACACAAACCAAACCACUCAGAUACAAACAGCCAAAAGGUCAUGACUCUGCUCACCUCUCUGGCCUGAGUCCUGGGCCAGUGGUGACCCCCAACGUGUUGCCCAUGCCAAAGUCUCUUACCACACUGAGUCUACCCAGAGGACCAGGGCUGUAAAUGGACUGUGGGUGAUGCUGGAUGAUUCUUUAGAGGCCAUUGGUGCUACCUCCUCGUUGUACAGAUGGGGAAACUGAAGCCAUGUAGGGGGAGAAGGGAAUUGGACAAAUCACAUGACCCACUGAUGUUAAAUUUGGACUUGAUUCUCCAUCGUAUUCUCCUUCCAACACUAAAUGUAGUUAGAAGCCUGCUUCUGCUCAGAAGAUGGAAAAUGGCCUCUGACAAUAAAAGCUGAUUUUUAACAACCAACCCAAGAAAAAUAGAAUGCUUCAGCAAGUCUUUGGCCUGGAUCCAGAGAGAUCUUAGACUGUGAAGGGAUGGAUGGAUUAACUCUUACCACCCUCCCAUCCUGAGCUCUUUGAGCUUUUGUUUUGUUUGCUUGUUUUUUGUUUUUGUCACCUAUGGGGUUUGCAAAUCCACAAAUUUGGUUGUCUCCUGUCAUGUGGUUGUUACAGGAGCAUGGGCCAGCAAGAGGUUCACAUGAUGGUUUAAUCAAUACUGCAAAUAACAAUAAUAUAUGAUAGCACAUGUGCUUACUGUACCAGAUGCCCUUCUAAGUCCUUUGCAUGCAUCAACUCAUUUAAACCUCACAACUCUUAUCAAAUCAGUUUACAAAUGAGAAAAUUGAGGCAUAGGAAGGCUAAGUAACUAGCCCAGGAUCACCUAGUUUGUAAGUGGUACAAGUGAGAUUUGAGGAUAGUAAGUCUGACUCUGGAGCCAUGAUGCCUUACUGUCCUGGUUGCAGUGAGUGGCACUUUAAAACAGGGCUGUACUGUAAUUUUUAAAAAAAAUCAUUGAUUACAAAUUCUGUCUCCCUGUACUCAGGGGCUAGCAGUGGAAUGGACCCUGAAAGGUAGUGCCUUCCCUCCCCCACCUUCUCCCACAGUGCUGUGGGCAUUAAACCCUAUCUCCCCUGCCGCCCCCUCCCCUCUCCCCGCCAGGUAGUUGCCUGCUUCGGCACCUUCAGAGGCUCUCCUGCAGAGGCACCAGAGGUCACUGAUGGCUUGAGCUUUUAUAUUCCCUUGGGGCAAAAUGUACAGCUUCGUGGUCCUUCAGUGGAAAAUAGCCAUUUGAACUCUCUCAACUCUAUGAAUCUCAUGAACUGGGUCUCCAGAAGCCACUUGCAUGACAGGAAACAAAUAAAAGGGGAGCCCACUCCUCUUCCCCAGAGGAGGGGUUAGAAGGCUGGAAUAAUUCAUCACAGUCCCCACCCCUCCCGCCACACACACACACACACACACACACACAUGCACGCGCGUGCACACACACACACACACACACACACACAGCAGUGCUCCACUCUGCCAAUGGAACAUUCGUGUUGCCUCUGAAUUAUGUGCUUUUGAUUAAUUUCUAAGGAAAAAAGAUCAGCUUUG